ACCAGCCGGAGGAGCACCCACAGACAGGAGCAUCUACAGGAGGACCAUCAUAGGACAGGAGGACUAGCGGGAGGAGCACCCACAGACAGGAGCAUCUGCAGGAGAAAGAUGCCAAGCCAACAGUUAACAGCUACCAAAGAAGCAGAUACCAUGCCCUGACAGGAAGGACCUUCCACUCACCCUGGAUGGUAACAUCCCCGCGCUGCACAUGACAUCCAGCCAAAUGAGUGCUGUGCUAACAUGAUUAAAUUGUGCCAAUAGCACCGUGAAACAAAUUUUCUUCAAUUAGUCAUUCAAGAACUAACAGACAUUUGCCAGGCAUCAAGAAUCCUUUCAACAUACAGCUCUCUUGAAUAGACAUGUCAGUUCCUCCAGAUGACUGCCAUGGACUACUUUAAGUUGGCUGUUUUAUUUCUCUCAUGUGAAACUGUGUUGAUGGCAUGACAUCCUUCAGUCUCAGGAUACUAUGGAUCUGCGCCAUAGGAGAUUUCAGGUUCGAGAGCAGCGCUUGCUGUGGCUGAACAGGUCCACACAGAAUGGCAGUCCCUGUAGCCGUGGCUGCACUUGUGAGUGGUGUCUUCCUGCGUUGGUAGCCUCUGGCUGUUCUUUCGGUGAUGACGUUUGUCCUCAGCUACCUGUCGCAGUCGGGCUUCACCUCUGAUGAGACCAGCUCCCAGUGUCUCCCACCUAAGAGCCCAUAUUAAGCGAUUUCAUAUCUCGCUUGCACACAUCUUUGAAGCGAAGAUGGGGGUGCCCUUGCACUUGCUUUGCGAAGGCCAGCUCACCGUACAAUAAAUUGUGUUGAUAGUGCUGUAAAAACCAGCAAAGACUCAAGAAAAUAAUAUUCCUUGUAUGAUGUCCAGAUGGAGAUUUUGUAAUGAAGCUACUUAGAAACAAUGUCACUGAUAUAGAAUGAAAAGAGGUUUUGUUCCUUACUUUCAGUGCAAACUUUGGUGACAACAGAAGGUCUAGCCACUUUUCUGGUCAAACAGGUCUCACAGUGCUCUGUUGCUACGAUUU